rnacentral:lncRNA from 1 species
CAUACACUAUCCCACUGUUCUGGAACGCCGAAUUCCAUAUCACCCGCCACUCCACCGCCUUCAAACAUGAGAUAGGGUGUUCCAUUAGUGCUAAACUGUUUAAUCAAACCAUCUUCUCAAAAGUUUAAGCCGCGAAGAAAUAGUCGAUGACGUAUUUUCUUAACGUUCCUCUUGCAUGUUAAUUGAGCCUCGGUGUUCGGAAUUGAAUCUAUACUUACUUGCUUGGAGCCAUGAGUAUGCUGACUGGGGGUAUAUAGUGGACUCUAUAUAUCUGAAGAGUCUGUAUCUGCGCAACUUGUGGUGCGAGAGCUUCUUCUCCGUUGAUGAGCACUGAAGAAGCUGUCUCGGCUCGUAGGCUUUCGUUCUUCCCGGGAUUCUUCGACCGUGGCUCCCGACAUCUCUCACCCUCUCUCGAAGUCAUAAAGACACGCACCCAUGUCCUAACCAUCCACUGAUUUUUGCUCAAUCGCCCGUUAUGGUGGGAGGCACGGAGGCAGGCCGGAGAGACGAAGGAGCGGGUAGAGAAAAGGCGAGGGCAAUGGGUUCUAAAGAUGAUGGCUGUUGUGUGUGUGUGUAUAUGCAGACACUUUUGCGCAAAAGUUUUUACAGUUGUAAUUAAAGAAAUAUAAUAUGAACGCCUGUAGAGACAAACCACGGCAGGUACUGAUGCAAGACGGGGGAUGAAUCUGAAAUUUUUCUCAAAAAUUGUCGUUCUUCUUGAUCGUGUCCUUACUUACAUAAGAGCUAAUUUCAAAA